CUAUAUACCAUGCCUAGCCCGGAGCAUCGGCGUCUCAGAAGGGACUCGGGUUGGCUGGCUAUGAAGGACGCCCCUGCCGAGGGCGAGUGCGGGAGACCCGGGCAGGGUUGGCCGAGCCAGAAGGGUCGCAAGAGUCGGCGCAGCCGCUUGCCAGUCGCCCAGGGCGCGUGGUUGCGAAGAGCCGCCUAAGCUCGGGGGGAAAAAUAAGAAUCCUUUCGCGGGAUCCGACUAGCCAAGGCGAAGGGACCGGUGCUGGCGGAGUUGCCCGUCGCCUCUGCCUGCCUUUCAGCAGGACGAGACAUCAGGGAGUCGGGGGGCUGCCAGGAGCGGAGAGGGCUUGCCUGCCUGCCGGAGGAAGAAGGCGAAGAUGUCCGAAGGCAGACACUGCCAAGUACAGCUUCUGGAUGAUAGGAAGCUGGAGCUACUAGUUCAGCCUAAACUUUUGUCACGGGAAUUAUUGGAUUUGGUGGCUUCACAUUUCAACCUCAAAGAAAAGGAAUAUUUCGGGAUAACAUUCAUAGAUGAUAUGGGACACAAUGUCUGGCUACAGUUAGAUCACAGAGUUCUGGAUCAUGAUUUACCUAAGAAACCAGGUCCGGCAACUUUGUGUUUUGCAGUCAGAUUUUACAUAGAAAGCAUUUCGUUUCUGAAGGACAAGACCACAGUUGAACUCUUUUUCCUCAAUGCAAAGUCCUCUGUGCAACAGGGACAUAUUGAAGUGGAAAGCGAGACAGUCUUUAGAUUAGCUGCUUUGAUUUUACAGGAAGCAAAAGGAGACUACUCUAGUGAUGAAAAUGCAAGAAAAGCUCUGAAAAACUUGCCUGCAUUUCCUACCAAGACUUUGCAGGAGCAUCCUUCACUUGCCUAUUGUGAGGACAGAGUCAUCGAACAUUACAUUAAGAACAAGGGGCUGACUAGAGGACAAGCGAUUGUUCAGUACAUGAAGUUGGUUGAAGCUCUGCCUACUUAUGGAAUCCAUUAUUAUGGAGUGAAGGAUAAACAAGGCAUCCCGUGGUGGCUUGGGAUCAGUUAUAAAGGAAUUGGCCAGUACGAUUUACAAGAUAAAGUCAAACCAAGAAAAUUAUUUCAGUGGAAGCAGCUGGAGAAUCUCUAUUUUCGUGAAAAGAAGUUUGCUGUAGAAGUUCAUGAUCCUCACAGAAUUUCAGUAUCAAGACGGACCUUUGGACAGAGUGGCCUAGUAGUACAAACCUGGUAUGCGAACACUUCUCUAAUCAAAUCCAUCUGGGUGAUGGCAAUCAGUCAACAUCAGUUUUAUUUGGACAGGAAACAAAGCAAAGCAAAAAUUCCCUCAGCCAGAAGUUUGGAUGAUAUCGCAAUGGACCUGACAGAUACGGGAGUGCCAAAAGUUUCAAAGCUAACAGUUUUGGAAGCAAAGAAUCAACUUAUUAUGGCCAGCAAUGGUAGCUUAAUCUCUUCAGGAUCUCAAGAUUCAGAAGUCAGCGAAGAGCAGAAGAAAGAGAAAAUCUUAGAACUGAGAAAGAAAGAAAAGCUUUUGCAGGAGAAACUCUUGCAGAAAGUUGAAGAGUUGAAGAAGAUCUGUCUGCGGGAAGCGGAGCUCACUGGAAAAAUGCCAAAGGAAUAUCCUCUGAACACUGGAGAGAAGCCGCCUCAGGUCAGAAGGCGUGUAGGGACGGCAUUCAGAUUGGAUGACAAUCUGCUACCCAAUGAGGAGGACCCAGCCCUGCAAAAUCUGGAAAGCAACUUUCUCAUCCAGCAAAAGUUGGUGGAAGCGGCAAAGAAGCUUGCUGGUGAGCCGGACCUGUGCAAAAAUGUGAAAAAGAAAAGAAAACAGGAGUACGCAGAGGCUGUGAAAAAGCUCCAGGAGAUUGAAAAUUCCAUCAAUGAAUAUAGAAUUAAAUGUGGGAAGAAACCUGCGCAGAAGUCAAGCCUGAUUUUACCAGAUGAAAUUAUCCCGUCUGAGAGCAGCUCUUUGUCUGACACAACAUCUUUUGAAGACGGCAAUACUUCCCUUACUGUGGCAGUCCAAAGAAUAAUUUCUCUGCCAGCCUCUCCACCACCCAAAACUCUUGGAGUGGAAAGGAUCCAUCUACGGAAGUCUUCCAUGAAUGAACAACUCUUAGAACAGAGACACUCUAGAGAUUCUCUGUCAACUCACAGCAGUCCAUACAGGACAGCCGAGAGGCAACACCACGGAGGAAGAAGUAUGCCCACCACACCAGUCCUCACACGCAAUGCCUACAGUAGCAGUCACUUGCAACCCGAUACAUCUCCUCAGCACUGUUUGGAGACCCAAACUACCUUCUUAUCAGAAACCGCCAGUGAAAAACCAAUGUUCACCCUUUCAAAAUCCCAAAGAAGUAGCAGCACAGAAAUCCUUGAUGACGGAUCCUCCUACACCAGCCAAUCCAGUGCAGAGUAUUACUGCAUGACCCCAAAUUCAAAGCCCUGUUAUAGCACCCAAACCCUUGACAACCGCACUAGAAAUAGGAGACGGUCCAAGAAACCGAACAUUUGUGCUUCCAGCUCAGGAAGUAUGCCUAACCUAGCCCAGAAGGACAACUGCAAUGGGGUCUAUGCAAAAAAGCAAGGACAGAUGCCAACAAGUUGCUACAUUUCUGGCUAUGCCCCUUCUAAAGAGGGCGACAUAUAUUACAACAGUGGCUACGUCUAUGAGAACGGCACAGAGGGCCAAUACAUGGUCAACCCUUCCUAUCGUUCCUCGGCGCCCUACGGGUACGAACGUCGGUAUCGGGAAUUCAGAUCUUUCCACGAAGACGAAAUGGAGAGAGUGCCCCACAAUCCGUACGCCACCUUGCGCUUGCCACGGAAGCCGUCGAUGAAAACAGAGCACAUCACUAAAAAUAUCCACAAGGCCUUAGUUGCGGAACAUCUUCGUGGCUGGUACCAGCGUGCCUCUGGACAAAAAGAGCAGGUUGUUGGCUUGCAGGCAGGCCUUGAUGCUGAUCGAGAGUCCCAGAGAGGUUUAGGGUGUGCUGGACUACAGAUGCUAAGUUGUCAAAGCAGUCAUUCAUCUUCUUUCUCUUUAGCAUCCUCAACAAAUUCCUCCGUGAACUGGCGGAAUCAGGUUUUGUUAGGACUUCCUGAUUAUGAUACGCUAUCUCAGUCCUCUUUUGCAAGCUGUUACGGGAAUGUGUACGGGAACCACCCACUGCAGAGCAGGUUCUCGAACAGAACAGAACAGAACAGAACAGAACAGAACAGAACAGAACAACAAAGUUGGAAGGGACCUUGGACAUCUUCUAGUCCAACCCCCUGCCUAGGCAGGAAACCCUACACCACUUCAGACAAAUGAUUAUCCAACAUCUUCUUAAAAACUUCCAGUGUUGGAGCAUUCACAACUUCCGGAGGGAGUUCUUUCUUGUGGUCACUGAUACGUCAACAUUUUUUUAAUGCAGACUGCAGCUUGGCAUUCUACAUGAGGCUUACCCUUGAAGAUUACUCAGAAGCUGAUUUACUCCAGAAUUUCACAGAACAAGCAGUCAAGGAGCAUACAUCAGGAAGCCCAUUGUUGUGGUUCAUCAGCAGUCUACAGAGCUGGCAACGGAGUCGGACAGCGAUGAGGCUGAGGUGAGGCCAGGGCCAUCGGGAAGUGAGGUGCAGACUCCAGAGCUUCCAGAGGCUGACAGUAAUGAGGCAGAGGAACAGGAGGAGCCUGUUCCUAAUGCACACAUGAGAAGAGCUGCCAGAAGGCAAGAGCAGUUCAAGCAGAGAGGACAACUCGGAAGUAGGGCCAAGAGAUGAUUGGCCCCUCCCAUAAGGCUUAAAGCAGACCAGCAUCGACAUUUGGCCUUUGCUGGAAAACAGCGUUGUAGCUGGGUCUUCAGCUUCGUCUUCUGCUUCGUCUACGUCUUUGUUUUUGUGGCUUCUGAACAUUUGCCAGGAAGGGCCUUUGGCAGUUUGUCUAAUUGGACUAAGGUUUGUGAAAUAACUGAGGAAUUUGUGUUGGGAGGCAUUUGUUUUACUUUGAGUUGAAUGAAGCUGGGAAUGAAGUAAUUCCCAGUUGUUCGAAUAAAGUUUGUUUAAGUUUAUUUAAGGUUAAGUUUAAAGGGCUUAAUUAACUACCUUCAUUUAGUAUUAUAAUUGUUUUUAAUGUCUCUGUCACUGAGAAUCAGU